rnacentral:rRNA from 1 species
CGAACGGGUGAGUAACACGUGGGCAAUCUGCCCUGCACUCUGGGACAAGCCCUGGAAACGGGGUCUAAUACCGGAUAUGACCCUCGCAGGCAUCUGUGAGGGUGUAAAGCUCCGGCGGUGCAGGAUGAGCCCGCGGCCUAUCAGCUUGUUGGUGAGGUAACGGCUCACCAAGGCGACGACGGGUAGCCGGCCUGAGAGGGCGACCGGCCACACUGGGACUGAGACACGGCCCAGACUCCUACGGGAGGCAGCAGUGGGGAAUAUUGCACAAUGGGCGAAAGCCUGAUGCAGCGACGCCGCGUGAGGGAUGACGGCCUUCGGGUUGUAAACCUCUUUCAGCAGGGAAGAAGCGAAAGUGACGGUACCUGCAGAAGAAGCGCCGGCUAACUACGUGCCAGCAGCCGCGGUAAUACGUAGGGCGCAAGCGUUGUCCGGAAUUAUUGGGCGUAAAGAGCUCGUAGGCGGCUUGUCACGUCGGUUGUGAAAGCCCGGGGCUUAACCCCGGGUCUGCAGUCGAUACGGGCAGGCUAGAGUUCGGUAGGGGAGAUCGGAAUUCCUGGUGUAGCGGUGAAAUGCGCAGAUAUCAGGAGGAACACCGGUGGCGAAGGCGGAUCUCUGGGCCGAUACUGACGCUGAGGAGCGAAAGCGUGGGGAGCGAACAGGAUUAGAUACCCUGGUAG